CGGGGCGUGGCGCAGCCUGGUAGCGCACUUCGUUCGGGACGAAGGGGUCGGAGGUUCAAAUCCUCUCGCCCCGACCA
rnacentral:tRNA from 3 species